AUACGGAGGGGGCUAGCGUUGUUCGGAAUUACUGGGCGUAAAGCGCGCGUAGGCGGAUUGAUCAGUCAGGGGUGAAAUCCGGGAGCUUAACUCCGGAACUGCCUUUGAUACUGUCAAUCUUGAGUUCGAGAGAGGUGAGUGGAAUUCCUAGUGUAGAGGUGAAAUUCGUAGAUAUUAGGAAGAACACCAGUGGCGAAGGCGGCUCACUGGCUCGAUACUGACGCUGAGGUGCGAAAGCGUGGGGAGCAAACAGGAUUAGAAACCCGAGUAGUCC
rnacentral:rRNA from 1 species